rnacentral:rRNA from 1 species
GACGAACGCUGGCGGCGUGCCUAAUACAUGCAAGUAGAACGCUGAAGGAGGAGCUUGCUUCUCUGGAUGAGUUGCGAACGGGUGAGUAACGCGUAGGUAACCUGCCUGGUAGCGGGGGAUAACUAUUGGAAACGAUAGCUAAUACCGCAUAAGAGUAGAUGUUGCAUGACAUUUGCUUAAAAGGUGCAAUUGCAUCACUACCAGAUGGACCUGCGUUGUAUUAGCUAGUUGGUGAGGUAACGGCUCACCAAGGCAACGAUACAUAGCCGACCUGAGAGGGUGAUCGGCCACACUGGGACUGAGACACGGCCCAGACUCCUACGGGAGGCGGCAGUAGGGAAUCGUCGGCAAUAGGCGGAAGUCUGACCGAGCAACGCCGCGGGAGUGAAGAAGGUUUUCGGAUCGUAAAGCUCUGUUGUAAGAGAAGAACGAGGGUGAGAGUGGAAAGUUCACACUGUGACGGUAUCUUACCAGAAAGGGACGGCUAACUACGUG